rnacentral:rRNA from 1 species
GACGAACGCUGGCGGCGUGCCUAAUACAUGCAAGUCGAGCGAAGUUUUUCUGGUGCUUGCACUAGAAAAACUUAGCGGCGAACGGGUGAGUAACACGUAAAGAACCUGCCUCAUAGACUGGGACAACUAUUGGAAACGAUAGCUAAUACCGGAUAACAGCAUUAACUGCAUGGUUGAUGUUUAAAAGUUGGUUUUGCUAACACUAUGAGAUGGCUUUGCGGUGCAUUAGCUAGUUGGUGGGGUAAAGGCCUACCAAGGCGACGAUGCAUAGCCGACCUGAGAGGGUGAUCGGCCACCCUGGGACUGAGACACGGCCCAGACUCCUACGGGAGGCAGCAGUAGGGAAUCUUCCGCAAUGGGCGAAAGCCUGACGGAGCAACGCCGCGUGAGUGAAGAAGGAUUUCGGUUCGUAAAGCUCUGUUGUUAGGGAAGAAUGAUUGUGUAGUAACUAUACACAGUAGAGACGGUACCUAACCAGAAAGCCACGGCUAACUACGUG